AAUAUUAUCAAUAUAAAUAUUGGUCUGACCAGCUAGGAACUUAGUUCAGUUCGAAUAGUCGAACAUUUGGUAUCACUUUUCACCCUCCAAUACAAUUCUGAAGUAAAAUGGAAGUCUUUGGUCUAUUUAUUUCGGCUCUGGUGGGGUUACUUGCGUUUGGCGGGGUGGUAGACGCACGAGCAUCAGCAAUGCCGGAACCAUCACCAACCAUUUGGAAACAUCCAGUCAGCUAAAAUCGUUGCAAUUAUUUGCGGUUUCCGAUAAUUUGACAUAAAAAUUAAAUGAAAGUCGAUGAAACUUAAAUGAAAUAAACAUUGUUUUUGGCCAAAA
rnacentral:lncRNA from 1 species